CGGCUUUGAGCCUUUGUAUGAAUUUUAUCCAGAAGCAGGGUUGGAUCAGACUCCCACUGAGAUGCUAUCUGACUUAAUCCUUGGCUUGGGGUUACUAGAGGAGGCAUAUUCAAAAGAAAAGAAAAGAAACUUACAAGAAACAGCUGGAGUCUGUGUCCUUGUGCAGGCUUCCAUGUAUACAUACAUAAUAGUUUAAGCCUAAGACUUUUAUGAUUCAUGUAUUUCUUGUAUGCAGGCUUCAUCUCAGCUCUUAGUGGUUUUCGGUAAUAAGCUAUUUGCUUAGCAGGGAAAAUAAGUGUUUCUCCCUAUGAUUGCCAACAUUGUACUGGUCUCUGUGCAGAGCAUAUUUCCUCUUCAAGAACUCAGGCCCUCUAAAUAGGACAGAGCAACAAGUAUUGGCAUGCAGACAGGAACAUGCCGAGAGUGCCAGCUGACUAUUCAGUUUCUUCACCAGGUACACAGAGAGACAGAAAAAAGAAACAGCACACAGGCUUGAGGGAAGCUUACAAUGGAAAACAAAUAUGAAGGACGCAGUGGAAGUUGAACGUAUUGAAAAGGAGAGAAUACUAUUGGGGGUGGCGAGGGAGCAGAUCAGCUGGAGAAAAUGAUGUUCUUGGAAACACUUUGGGUGUUGUCAAAGAAUGGCUAUGAGGGAUGGAGAGAAAGUGGCUUAGGAAGUAUCAGGAGAGUGGACCCCAGAGAGAAAACAGUAAAGGACAAGGUUAGAGGGACCAGGAGCAAACCUGAAGCUCCCCUCUUGCCAGUGGAGAGCUCUCCCUUCAAAUACCUGCAAUCCAGCCAUAAGCUACCCUCCAGUUUUGCCUGCAGGAAGGAACUCCACAUUGUCUUGCCUAAGACUCAUCAGUUGACUGCACACUAUGACUGAUCCCAGAUGGAGCAAGAGAUGUCUACAUCCCUUCUGGACUCUUUUCACCCCACGUGAGUAUCGCAUCACCAUACUGACAGGCCAUCUGUUACUUAUGUUCUCUAGUAAUGACUGUUUAUAUGUAGCUGCUUUUCGGCUUUCUUGAUACUCAGAAUAAAAUUCAGGGACCCAGGGAGAAAACCUGGGAGAACAGGAACAGGGCUAGGCUUCCAGGAGACCCCGAGGACUUAAGAAGUCAUUCCUACAUUCCAG